rnacentral:rRNA from 1 species
UACAGAGGUCUCAAGCGUUGUUCGGAUUCAUUGGGCGUAAAGGGUGCGUAGGCGGCGCGGUAAGUCGGGUGUGAAAUCUCGGAGCUUAACUCCGAAACUGCAUUCGAUACUGCCGUGCUUGAGGACUGGAGAGGAGACUGGAAUUUACGGUGUAGCGGUGAAAUGCGUAGAUAUCGUAAGGAAGACCAGUGGCGAAGGCGGGUCUCUGGACAGUUCCUGACGCUGAGGCGCGAAAGCGUGGGGAGCGAUCCGG